UACGUAGGGGGCAAGCGUUGUCCGGAUUUAUUGGGCGUAAAGAGCUCGUAGGCGGUUUGUCGCGUCUGCUGUGAAAACUCAGGGCUUAACUCUGAGCUUGCAGUGGGUACGGGCAGACUAGAGUGCGGUAGGGGAGACUGGAAUUCCUGGUGUAGCGGUGAAAUGCGCAGAUAUCAGGAGGAACACCGGUGGCGAAGGCGGGUCUCUGGGCCGUAACUGACGCUGAGGAGCGAAAGCAUGGGGAGCGAACAGG
rnacentral:rRNA from 1 species